rnacentral:rRNA from 1 species
UACGUAGGGGGCUAGCGUUGUCCGGAUUUAUUGGGUUUAAAGGGUGCGUAGGCGGCCCUGUAAGUCAGCGCUGAAAUAUCCCGGCUUAACCGGGAGGGUGGCAUUGAUACUGCAGGGCUUGAGUAAAGUUGAGGUUGGCGGAAUUGACGGUGUAGCGGUGAAAUGCUUAGAUAUCGUCAAGAACACCGAUAGUGAAGACAGCUAACUAAGCUUUAACUGACGCUGAGGCACGAAAGUGUGGGGAUCAAACAGG